rnacentral:misc_RNA from 1 species
GAUGAAGAACGUAGCGAAAUGCGAUACGUAAUGUGAAUUGCAGAAUUCAGUGAAUCAUCGAGUCUUUGAACGCACAUUGCGCCCCCUGGUAUUCCGGGGGGCAUGCCUGUCCGAGCGUCAUUGCUGCCCUCAAGCACGGCUUGUGUGUUGGGCCUCCGUCCUCCUCCCGGGGGACGGGCCCGAAAGGCAGCGGCGGCACCGCGUCCGGUCCUCGAGCGUAUGGGGCUUCGUCACCCGCUCUUGUAGGCCCGGCCGGCGCUUGCCGACACAUCAAUCUUUUUUCAAGGUUGACCUCGGAUCAGGUAGGGAUACCCGCUGAACUUAAGCAUAUCAAUAAGCGGAGGA